rnacentral:rRNA from 1 species
AUGAACGCUGGCGGCGUGCCUAAUCCAUGCAAGUCGAGCGAACGGACGAGAAGCUUGCUUCUCUGAUGUUAGCGGCGGACGGGUGAGUAACACGUGGAUAACCUACCUAUAAGACUGGGAUAACUUCGGGAAACCGGAGCUAAUACCGGAUAAUAUUUUGAACCGCAUGGUUCAAAAGUGAAAGACGGUCUUGCUGUCACUUAUAGAUGGAUCGCGCUGCAUUAGCUAGUUGGUAAGGUAACGGCUUACCAAGGCAACGAUGCAUAGCCGACCUGAGAGGGUGAUCGGCCACACUAGAACUGAGACACGGUCCAGACUCCUACGGGAGGCAGCAGUAGGGAAUCUUCCGCAAUGGGCGAAAGCCUGACGGAGCAACGCCGCGUGAGUGAUGAAGGUCUUCGGAUCGUAAAACUCUGUUAUUAGGGAAGAACAUAUGUGUAAGUAACUGUGCACAUCUUGACGGUACCUAAUCAGAAAGCCACGGCUAACUACGUG